AAAAAGAUAGACUAAUAUUAAGUUAUUAGAUUCAUAAUCUAAAGAUAUAAUUAAUUUAUUCUUUUUA
rnacentral:tRNA from 1 species